rnacentral:misc_RNA from 1 species
CAUGAAGAGAAGCAACAAAGGAAACGGAAGCGGACCAUAAUGAAUGAUAAGCAGAUAUCACUUGUCGAGAAGGCCCUUAUGGGGGAGCCUGAUAUGCAGCGAAAUAAAAACUUAUUAGAAAAGUGGGCUGUAAAAUUAAGUGAUCAUGGAUCAGAGGUUACAAAAUCACAGCUCAAGAAUUGGCUAAACAAUCGGAAAGCAAGGUUAGCUCGUGCUGCAAAGGAUGGGCGUGUGUUGUCUGAUGGGGAUAGUCUUGACAAACAAGGUGGGUUGCUCACUCUGCUACCUUGUGGCUCACCUGGAAGUCCUGUCGAGGAUGUUGGUAUCCUCUCUGCUGCUAGAGAAAAUGCACCGAGGCUAACUGGCCUGGCACCGAGCAGCACUUGUCUUACAGAAAACACAACCGCUGUGCCUGCAGCUUCAUCAGAACCGGCAGUGUGUGUGGCAGGGGAUUAUGUUGUGCUUAUAAACGAGAAAGCAGAAGAGAUAGGAAGAGGAAAGGUAUGUCAAGUCAGUGGCAAGUGGUAUCAAAG